AUGGAAGGAAAAUGCAGCAGAGAAGCGCUCACAGAGGAAAAAAAGCAUUCAAACAGUGGUGCAAACAAAGAAAGGAAAGACACGAAGAAGAAAUGGAGAAAAUAAAGAAGAUCAAAACAGAACAAGAAGCGUGGAAAUAAAUAAAUAUAGAAGUAGAGAGUGUAUAGAUGAGGAUAUAAGCGAAGAAGAGUGGAAAGAUCACUUUAUGGAAAUUUUAGAAAGAACAGAGCACAAAGAGGGAAGAAAAACGGAGGGGCAUAGAGCGGAAGAGGAAAUAAUAGAGGAGAGAGAAGAUAAUAUAGAGAAGGAAGAGGUGAUCUACCAGUUAAGAAACUUGAAGGAAAAGAAAGCAAUGGAGGAAGACGGGCUAGAAAAUGAGGUAUGGAAGUAUGCACCGAAGGAAGUGGGGAAGGCGUUAUGGGAGUUGUUAAAGAAAAUAUGGAAUGGGGAGGGGAUACCAAAAGAUUAGAAAAAAGGAGUAAUAUGUUCGAUAUAUAAGAAGGGGGACAAGAGAGUAGCGAAGAGUUACAGAGGAGUAACAUUAAUGAAUACAGCAUACAAGAUUUAUGUAGGAAUACUGGACGAACGGCUGAAGGCAGAGAUUGAAAACAAACUGGAAGAGAGUCAAUUCGGAUUCAGAAAAGGAAGAAGAGUGACCGACGCAGUAUUUGUGAUAAACCAUAUCAUAGACAAACAGUUGAGUAGAGAAAAAGGGAAAUUAUAUGCCUGCUUUGCGGACUUAAGAACGGCGUUCGACAGGCUAAACAAAGAGAAAUUGGAGGAGAAAAUGAGGAAAAUGAGGGGAUUAGCGGAAAACUAACUCGAAGGAUUAAAGAGAUAUACGCAGAAACAAAGAAUGUAGUGAGAGUCAAGAACCACAACACAAGAGAAUUUUGGACAGUGAGGGGAGUCAGACAAGGGUGCCCGUUGAGCCCGACAUUAUUCAACAUCUACGUGGCAGGACUGGAAGAAGAACUAAGGAAAGGACAAGCUGCGGGUAUAGUGGUAGGAGAAAGAAAGGUAUGGUCAUUAGCAUAUGCAGACGAUAUUGCGCUGAUGGCGGAUAAAGAAGAGGAGCUAAAAGAAAUGUUAAAGAGAUUCAAAAAUUUUUAAAGGAAGCCGAAUUAGAACUGAGCACGGAAAAGACCAAGGUAGUAGUUUUCGAAAAAAGAAGGAACAAAAGAAGACAAAGAAAAUGGAAAUGGGGAGAGCAAGAAUUAGAAGAAGCGGACGAGAUAAGAUACCUUGGGUACAUACUACAGAAAAACAGUAGUGAUGAGAAACACAUACACGACAGGUAAAAGAGAGCAACAAUAACAAUGAAGAAAACGUGGAGCGUGGGAGAAAGAAUAUUCAAACAGGACUACAAGAGGAGAAUGAAGAUGUUUGGAGCACUGGUAGAGAACGUGGCGCUGUUUGGAGUAGAGGUAUGGGGCUGGAACAUGGAAGAAAGACUGGAUAGAAUACAAAGAAGAUAUGUGAAAUGGAUAUUAGGUUUAGAUAUGACAACAUCAAAUUAUAUAUUAUUAGAAGAAUGCAAGCUAACAGAAAUCAAAGAAAAAGCAUUAGAAAGAGUAGCAAGUUAUAAAGAGAAAGCCCUAGAAUCAAAAAAGGAACUAGUAAAGGAGUGUAUAAAGGAAAGAGAGAGAAACUGGGGAAAUGGCCAAGAAGGGAAAAGAGCAAAAAAGAGAAAGAAGGGACUAGAAGAGGUGAGAAAUGGAGGGACGCAGAUGGAAGCAAGAGAAGAGCAGGAAAGGAUGACAGCAGACCAAAUUAUAGAAGAAAGAAGAAAGAGGGAAGCAGAAGAGAGGGGGGAAAGGAUAAGGAAAUCCAAAUAUAAUAUACAUUAUAGAAAUAUCGCCAAAGAAAAAUUACCAAAGUACUUAGAAGGGAGGAUAAAGUGGAAGGGCAAAAGAAUACUGACAAGAUUCAGAUGUGGAAACGAGACCAAAGCAAGGGAGUACUGGAAAGAAGAGGAAGAAAAAAGAUGCAGACUAUGUAGAAGGAAAGAAGAAGACCUGAGACAUAUAAUAGAAGAAUGUGAAAUAACGGGAGGACCAAAGGACAUAGGAAAAACACUAAAAGAGACUGGAGAAGGUUUAACAGAACUAAAUGCAAUAAUAAAGAAGAGAAUGGCAAACGACAGGAAGGAAGCACAGCAAGGAGGCAAAAGCCCAAAGUUGCAAUAAUUUUUAGUCAUUAGUUGUUAAUUUGUAGUUUUUAGUUUUAGUUUUUAGAGAUAAAAUAAUUAAGGGAGUGCAAUACAAUAGAGUGGAUAAGAGGGGAGGUGGACAUAUAAGAAACGAAAUAGAUAUAAGAGAUGUAAAACCGAAAGUUCGUCCAAAGCCCAAAGGCACGAACUAAGCAAUAAUAAAUAAAUAAUAAAUAAUACAUUCUGAGAAAUUGUUACGCGAAAAACUUCAACGUUAUGGUCCCAAAUUAAACCUAUCAGUAUCGAACUUCUUUUGGGUAACGGAAAAAUAUCGACGUAUUUCAGCAACUAUUAAUAUUAUGUUUUAAACACGAUUAAAAAUUGAAACAUAUUUUUUGUAAAGAGUUUAUAUUUUAACGCAAUAAAAUUGCAGAUCAAGUUUGUGGAGAACCAGCAGGGAUCGAAUGAAACUUUUAACUUUUAUAAAUAAACGUGAUUUACCGAACUUUUAACUUUUCAAUCAUUCCUUUCCUGUUCCAAGUUAACUUUGUAUGUUAACACUUUAACUCUGUUAUAAAAGUUGAGCCAUAACCAGUUAUUUUGUAUUCCGUUAAUAAAACUUCUGAUGGAUCCAUAUACUUUUUAGCAGAUAUUUUAGGAGAAAAUACGAAGGUUAAAAUUAUUUUUUCACGUAUGAUUAUUUAAGGAAUCGAAAGUAGGAUCAAUGUAUAGUAGAAGAGAAAGCAAGUUACGUUUUUUGUAUAAUUGUUUUAUUUCGCCAACAACAAGGGCGGAAUUGUACAAAGGAAAAAGCAAUUAAUUACAUAUACGCUCUAGAAUUUAGCGUUUAAUUUUUUUAAGAGUAAUACAUUUUCCAAGUAACUUUCAUUAAUGCUCGGACAGCUUUAACUUUUUUUUUAAAGCAAAAUAAAUGUUUCUGAAUAAUUGAAUCUCUUUUCUAUCUGCAAGAAAAUAAAAGUUUCCUAUUUAUGCAAAAAAUGUAUGGAAUCAAAGUUUCAGUGAAUAAGUUUCACUUCAUUUUGAAACAGAGAAAAUAAUAAAUAAGUAAUAAGUAAAAAUUAUCGUUAUUUCACAAUUAAUUAGAAAUUUCAAGUUUCAUUCCAUCUCUGGAAACUAUUGACUCUAUUCAUAGCUUCCUCAAAUUAGUUCUUCCUUGAAAUUAAUGCUUUUUGAGUUAUGGAAAAGUAUCGACGUUUGAAUAAUUACUAAUAUUUAAACAUGAUUAAAAAUUUAAACACAAUUUUUUUAAGGAAGACAUAACGCAAUAAAAUUACAUUAAAAUUACAUUAGUACACUUAUCGCUCUUUCUCAGCUAGUUAAUAUUUAUUUAUAUUUGUUUAUUUUAUCUAGUCCUCAACUUUAGGAUUUACACGAACUUUCGAUUUUACAUUCUUACAUUUUUCGAUUCUUUGAUUCUUCGUAAAAUCUACAUUUCACUUCACGUACAACAAUCGAAAAAAUAUAAAACUUUGAACACACAUAUACAUCUUAUAACAUCGAUAGAACAAUAGUUUAGCAAUAGGUUGAUAGUUUAAUAAGGAAGAUAAUGAUAAGUAAGGUUAUUAGUUGUAAUUAUAAUGUGAAUACAGUUUAAGCACAUAUCGUAAACAAAUAGAUUGUAAAUGGAAAGACAUCCUAAGCCGCAAGGCAGCAGUUAAAAAUGAAUAAAUAACAAUAUCUUUCUCAGCUAGUUAAUAACUUAUUAGAACACAAUAUUCGGUAGAUAUAUAGAACAUCGAUAUACUGCUUUUCUUCCGAGCUUUUCAAUCGUAAACGUUAACUCGCCAAAACACGAACGAUAUCGAUUCUAUCUCAAAUAAAUCAAUUUUUUCUAAAGUAGAAAGAUAUAAGAUAUAAUUGCGCCAAGAUUAUUAACAGAAGGCGAACUGGAAAUUAUGUUUGCAUUUUAUCGGGCAGUUAUACGAAAUUGGUGAACGCAGAUAACAGGUAUCAGCUGUAGACGAAUUGGUAUAUUCGCGUAAUUAUUAAUACUAUUUCGAUAAAAUUAUUUCAUCGGCCGGUGCCACGGGUAACUGUAGUCGAUUCUCGUUUAACAUGUAAUUAUCAUUAAAAUAACGGGUGUAUUUCGUGGCAAAUCACAAACUGCUGUGAAAUAGUGACACUGGAACGUUGUGCAUGAUUAUACCAGCGAUGAGUAAGACAUUAAUAUUCAUAUUUUAAUUAAGAAUAAUAACUGUCUGUAAUCAAUUAGUUUACCAUCGACCGACUUUCGUAGCGGAAAAUUAGUUCGAUGCAUAAAGUAGUAGUUAAUUACAAUAAAAGACAGGAUGUUUAAUUGUAAUAUGCAUGCGCGUAUGCACAAAUUAUUCCAUCAGAAUUCUAUUCGUUCUGUCCGAAAUUGAGGGGUCCAGCGAAAUGCAGACAUGUUUGUCAUCGUUUUAUUAAUUUUAGAGGAAAGCAAAUUGAAGGAAAAAUUAUUUUCGUAAGAAAAGCGUUAUGAAAUUGUAAUCGUUUUAAGUGACACUUCAAUUAAAUGGUAAAUGACAACUACUAUUAGACAUAUAAUAUAUAAAUAUAAAUAUAAAUAUAGGGAAUAACAAAGUAUGUGAGGCUCAACUUCGGGGAGUGAUUGUACAUCUAAAAGCAACGAAUGAAAUUCGUAUAGACAAGCGCUUUAUCUGUUUACGUUCAUGAGAUAUGAUGAAUUUUGUGUGUAUGUAACAGCUAUUGAAAAUGUUGAAAUAUUAAGGUUCAGAAUAGGACAAACUUUCAACAAAUUCGGCAAACGCUGGGAACAAUUCAGAAUGUAACCGAAUUCACGACAAGAGACAGAGUUGCCUUCAAAUGCAAGCUGAUUAUUUUGAGUAUCUCUUGAGUAAAGGUAAUUAAGAGUAAUUAAUAGAUCAAAAUUAAUUUUAUGCAGAUUCAUAUUGUUAAGAAUAUAAUUUAAAAAAGCAGAUCCUCUGUAGAAAAUUGCUUUACUUACCAAAUUACAGAAAGCACUAUGUUUUGGGUGUUUUAUUAUAUUUUUUCAUAUAAUACGAAUUCUGUGCAAUUUUGCAGUCCGAAAUUUUCUAUAAAUACAUAAAAGCACGUGGUCUAGCAACUAGAUAAAAUAAAAUCAAAAUAGAAAAUUCGUUACAUCACAUAAACGAAGAUAUAUGGAACAUGAAAUACGUUUAUAAGAAAUUUUUCUAAAUUGAUUUUACGUGUACAAUCAGCUCCAACAAAAUGGGACUCAUACGUUCCGGAUGUUAUAUGAAAACUAUAUAAAUAUAAAUAUAUAAAGCGUGAAGAAAAUAUAAUAUUAUUCUCUUCAGUGAGACGUACAUGCUAUUAUAUUAGGAAAUUGUGGAAUGAACACUAUAUUGUAGGAACGGAUUAAUGAUAAUUAAAAAAAAAAAAAACGAAAAUUUAUGUAUAUUUGACACGUAUCUGUUCUUCACUGAGCCCUUCCAUUCUACACGUUAGAUAAUUUAAAAUUGUUGUUCGAAUUAUGAAAUACAAUUUUUCAUUGGAAAUCGAAUUGUACGAGACUUCUGUUUUAAUUACAUCGUAUAAAAUAUUAUAUACAAUGCUCGAUAAAAAUUCUAGGUAAAUAUAUUUCCUAUAAUUUCUAAAGUAUUUAAAUCGUUUAGAUUUGCGAAGAGAAAGUAGAAUUCUAACGCUUCUUUUUGAACGUUACAAAUCUGCGAUACGCAUUAAUCUGACAAUUGAAAAAUAAAACGAAAGAUUCCAAUCAGAAGCUCCUCGACAAAUUAUAUAUUCAUAAAACAUGUACGAAGCACAAGAAACUUGGAAUAACUGCUUUUAAUCUUUAAAUGUGCAUUCUGCACGAAGUAAAAUGUCCGUGUCAUACAGAAAUGAGAUAAAAGAUUCGAACUUUCCAAGCAUAACAUGUCUGGUGCAUCAAAGAAAAAGGAAAAUUCUCUACAUCUAUUAAUAAUCUCUUUAAUAAUAAGUCCUAUAUAUUUAACUAACGCGUUCAUUGUCUCCCUUAAUAAUUCCCUUAAUAAUCGGAGACUCGUAGACUAAUCAAUAGACUGCUAAAAUAGGAUUUCAUGCAAACUCGUAUUUUUAUGGAUCGGGAAAACUUAAGCAAAAAACACGGAUCGUCGAUAAUGACGUCUUAAUGAGGAGACCGUCGUCGUGCUAUUUUGCCACACUUAAAACAAUUUGCCGAAUGUUUGUCUACUGAUAAAUUGCAAAAUAUAUACAUAUAUUAUACGUCCAAAAAGUUUCUUCCGUUUUAUAUUAUUUUAUCGAAUUACGUAUGAUCCAUUUUGUUGUAAAUAAAUAAAGAUUACAACGUUCGACAGAUUAGGUUUCAUGUUUGUAUAAAGAUGCGUUGUUGUAAAAGACGUGUCUGGAAAAGAAAGACACUUUCCGGACAACCUAAUAUAUAUAUAUAUAUUUAUUUAUUUAUUUAUUUACAUAUAGAUAAAACAGAAAUUUAUUUCAUCCAUUAAAUAUGAUAAGCAGAACUCUAUUUAGAAUAUUUUAUAUAUUUUUGCAUAUUAGAUACAUUUCUGUACUUUGAAAUUUUUCACGAGUGCGCAUAAAACUGACAAAUUUUUCAAAACAAGAACACUGGGACACGAAUGAAAAACGUUUCAAGCGUUAUCAGCAACGAGAAAAUGUGAUAAAACAACGGAUUACAGGUUGUUACAAAGAUUUAGUCAUUUUGAUGUAUGUUUGCUCGAGGCCGUUAAAACUUGUCGGGUAUUUUUCACGCAUUUCCAUUUUUCCGAAUUUCUUCAAACUCUGCACUCAGGCUUGUCUUACGUAACAUUACUUAUGUAGAUUCUAUCAAAAACGGGGUAAAGUUAUUGAAUAACUACCGUUUGAUCGAUUUCCAUGACCUUGUAAUGCGUUGUCAAGAUCACCACCCUAAACAACUUUCUCUCUGUAGAUACAGGGCGUUUCACAGCACGACCCACUUUAGGAAUGAACAGGGGGCGCAAGAACAAUGAAAAAAGUUGAUAUAAACACGCGUCCUAUUUGACCUUGUUUCAAAGUUACGGCUACUUUUGCGUUUCGAUAAUCCACAACUGCUUACCUUUGUACAAGCUGCUCCAAAUAAUCACCCUCGGUCUGUAUUAUCCGACAUAGACCUGGAAUUUUUGAAAGAUCGCAAAAUUCUUUGACACGACGACCGCGAGCUUGCGUACAAACCGAGGGCGGUCAUUUCGAGCAUCCUCUAUGAAGAUAAGUUGUCGCGGAUUAUUGCGACGCGAGAGUGGCUCUAACUUUGAAACGAGGUUAAACAGGACACGCGUUUUUAUGAACCUUGUUCAUCGUUUUUGUAUCCCUUGCCAAUUCCUGAAAUGGGUUCCACGCAUUACGAAACAUCCUAUAUACAAGAUGGUCGAUUUUAGAUAUCGUUUCUAUACCAGUAUGUUAAUAAAUUUUAUAUUACUUUUUAUUUAUGCAUAAUUUACUUUUAUUUUAUUUAUUAAUGUAUGCUUUUAUCCCAUCAGUAUUAUAUUCAUAUUUAUCUAUUUAUAUAUAUAUAUACUUAUGUUGGUGUAGCUUUAGUUCUAGCUUUUUCAGCUGUAGUUUUACUUCAGUUCUAAUUAAUAGUAUUUAUUGGUAUAUGUAUUCCGAACUCUGAUAUGUGUAGAAGAAAUGCAGCAUAUUUGGAAUACUAUUAGUAGUUUGGAGUACCGAAGUAUCUAAAAAAACUAUUAACGUCGUCUGAUUUGUAACACCGUGAAUAAUAGAGGCGAAUGACCUGUUAACCAGUGACAUUUGUUCAGGAAUCGUAAUGUUUAUAUUUCCGCCUCGAUCUACGGUAAAAUCUGUAAAAGAACGUCAAUUUUUAAAAGUAUUUCAUUGUUACAACCAUGACAAAACAUUAGAGAAAAUCGCUUAAUUUACUCGUUCGUAUCUUAAUUCUAUGGUUUCGUGUCAAUUUUGCGAACAUUUCGUACAUAACGUGACACUGUAUUUUAGGUUCCAAUGUCACGUUGCUAAUUCGGCAUAUCGAGGAAAAACCUAUCGAAACGGAUGCUGUGCGCCUCUUCUCUGCAACGUGAGCUACAGCGAAGGCAAAAGAGCGGAAGAGUGAGUGGGUGCAGUGUUUCACGUGUGAAAUGUGGCUACAUUUUGAAUACGUUGGUUAUGACCAUGCAAGUUAUACACGUGACUACUGCAAGCAAAUUUUAAUACACAGAGUCGACGUUCAUCAAACGUGAUCGUUCCCUAUGCUGUAAUUUUUGUACGCGAUUGGACCUGAGAAAAGAGAAAAUGCUUUUAUUAUCUAACCGCUCUUUAAUUCUAUAUAGCGAAGCUAAAUUGGAGCAGCGAUAUUUCAAAUUACCCACGCCGUAACAAAAUCGUUUACUUUUAUGUCAGUUUUCAAUUAGACCAACGCUUCAGAUACUCUUUGUUUCUCGCUAUUACCGAGCGUUUGAAAUUAUAAAAGUAUAUUAGCUUCCCUAUGAUGUUAUACAGUUUUAUUCGUUCCCAUCCUCUGCUGUAAUUUUUCAUUCAUCUUAAACAAACUGGUAUUCCAAAUAUGCCGCAUUAUCUCUGUAUGGAUGCGUGUGGCUACUUUACGUUUCCUGACUCGUCUGUUUGCGUUCUUUCAUUUCCAGUUAUAUACUGUGUAACUUUAUGUGGAUGUUAAUACCAGGAGAGGGAGAAUGGGAGGCAAGUGGAAGGUAAUAGGACCAAAGAGAGUACUAUGUGUAAUAUAGAUCAGAGGGCGAUAUGGGUAUGGUAUGGAGGAACGAGUGUCUAUAAGGAUUAUAUAUUGUAAACCGUGUUCAUUCUAUGAUCCCCUGGGGGCUGAUAUUACAAUAAAUAUCUAUCUUUUUAUCUGUUAUAAUUAUUGUCGGUGUAUCCGUGUGUAUGUCCAAAAUAUAAUCGCUUUUGCUGGCCACCACCAUUUAAAUUGCCUAACCCUUAGUAAUCCUUUGGGUUUGGAAGUGGCUGGAAUUUUUAUUAUCUUUUUCAUUGUUUAUACGUCGCUACGAAGAUAUUAAAAAAAAUCCCAUUAAAAUUCACGAGGAGAUAGCACGUCGAUAGCUUGACACGGACAUAUGUAUAUGACACCAAACAUACCUUUGUGUAUAACUUGAAAAUUGAAACCAACCACUCUGUAUAUGUAUAGGAAAAAGGUUGUUCAGAACGACAACCUUGACAUAUUUCAAGAACAUCGAAAUCGACGAGGAGGCAAAUAUUCGGAAAUUUGAUCGAAAACGGCAACCUAGGCAACUAGGUCAAAUUAGCAGUUCGAAUUACUUGUUCGUUACAAGUAUUCUUUUCGUUCGAAAAUGUUGCACUUGUGAGUUCUGUGCAAGAUAAAGCCACUAGACGCACAGUUUCUCGUUCGAAGGCAAUUUUCCAGAUAGAUGGAGAGAAAUCCGUGAAAAGAAUUUUAACGACGAGGGUGAAACCGAAAGAUCUGUAAUGAGAAUUCUCCGGACAGUAGCAUUCUCGAAAGCAGCAUUCGAAUUAUAUGAAAUAAAUACAGAAAAUAGGAAGAGAGCCAAUAGUAACAGCUGGAGAAAGGGUAAAUGUGGUAACGUAUGUCUAUGUAUGUAUAUAUUGCAAAAAGUAGUGAGUCUUUCCCUGAUACAUUAGCCACUGUCCAAGACUCUAUAAAAUUCGAGAUGAAUUAUAUGGAUAUAUAUACUCGGUUAAUAAUAAUAUUAAUAAUAACAAAAACAACAUUUGUUGAUUUAUAUUUAUAUAUCAUAUACAUAAAUACCACGUAUAAUGUAAUGUAAAAAUAUAGUAAAAUUCAUACAUAUAUACAUAUAUAACUAUAAUUUAUAUACUUAACAAAUUUUGUAAACGAAACCUUAUUUCUGCCUUUGCCUUAUUCUAAUUUCAUCAAUAAUUAAAUUCAAUAAUUUCCAAAUUUCAUUAACUUCAUUUAAUUCUAAUCUACACUUUAAUCUCACCCCUACUCAGGUUGCGUACUCAGGUGUGUAUGAAAUACUUUAUCAAAUUGUUAUUUAUUUACUGUAUUUAUUAUAAUUGUACUUUAUCAAAUUUCUAUACGAUAUAAAAAGCUUCUUCCCUGUGCGCGCGUCGCGUCCAAAAUAAUAUUAAUAUUACUUAAUCUUUUCAAGAAGAACCGCAGACGUCGUGAUGUCGCGAUAUCAAGGAUCGAUGGACGGCAUCUGCACGAGUCUCGAUUUGCGGGUUGUAAAUUGCGUGGAACUGCGAAACGGCUAAGAUUAACUCCGGCUCGCGGUUACGAAACCGGAAAACGGCCAUUAAGAUCGGCGAACGAUCCACAGAAACGACCACCGUCGCUGAAAACAGUUAAUCGGACGUGAUUUAUCGUCGCCCGAGCCGAAAAACCAUUACACUCGCACAGCUUUCGAGGAUUAUCGAUUGUUGUCUCUUCCAGGCCGAAACGUGACCGACAUCAUCGCGCCUUCAUUUUACGAUCUCUCUAGCGAAAAUCAACGAUCGUUUUCCUCGUCGAUAAACACGUCGGAAAAGCGUGGUUUGAACGGGCGUAUUACCAGCAAGCGUGAAUCAUUCGUAAGUAAAUUUUUGGCGACUGUUUUCGUUGUUGAACGAGUGUUGACGAAGCGUUUAAUAAAAUGAUGGAACGAGUGCCAGAACAGUUUAUGUAUUUUGAUCCUUUGAAUUAUUCCUACGCGUUGGACGAAUACGUUAUAUCGUAGAAUACGAGUGACAGUUGUUCCGGAAAAUAUCUUAUUUUUGCUUCAACUUGUGAACUGAUAUUAAAUUAUACAAAUCAUGAAUAUAGAGUGUUUGUAUAGUUCGAUGAACGUAUCGACUUUACUAAUUUUUUAACACGAGAGUAUAUAGGAAAAAGUAACGAGCAACGACGACGUACUAAAAGGAGAAUUAUUCUAGCGUGUGAUUAAAAAGUUGAUAUAAAAAAGUGAAAGAACAGUGAAUAUUAAAAGCGAAAUAGUAACGACAGAGAUAAUAUAAGUUUGUAAAUGAGUUUCCAUUUCGCCGAGUUAAUAACUAAAAUAUAGAAGCCAUUCACACGGAAGAGAAUUAUGCAAACAUUAUAUUCUCCAUUCGCUUCCUAUUUGUAUAUUAAAAAAUAAAAUAUCCAAGUAAAAAUGUUCUCUUUCCACGAGUGACAACGGGGCAACUUAAUCGCAUAAUAUUAAUCAAUAUGUGGAAAAAUCUUGAAAUAAAUUCGAAAGACUCGCUUUUAUUACUAAGAAUUUAAUUCAACGUUUGUCUUUUCCGAUAACGCAUACGUAUAAUCUUGCUACAGUUUACAGACUAAUAACAAACGAAUAUCGAAAAUUACACGGCACUCGUUAACGCAUUGGUAACAUUCUUUUUAAUUAACUGCAUUAGUGUAUUCUUGCGAUUCCAAGCUGCAUCUUCUAUCCUGCUGCGAUGAUGCCCUACGCGAGGAAAUUAUGCCGUCCCAUAAAUUAGACUUAAGUCAGGUUUGAGUUAGUGAGAAAGACGACAAUGAUUGGAUAAAUUUCUAUUAAAUAAACUUACAGAAGCCAGCUUGCACGGGAUCGCAGCGUUCUACCGCGUUUACACGCGAACAACGUUUAACUCAUCCGUCAUUGCUUUGCAGAAGCGUAUCGCCGCAGUGCCGAUCUCUCGCAACAUUAUGAUUUUUCAUCGAUUUUAUUAUAACGAAUAUCGUCAAAUAAAUCUAACAUUGAACGCUUGACGUUCGCAUCCAUAUAACAAUUAUGACUAUUAUAACCUCAUGUACAAAGCCACGCGUGAUGGCAUAGAUUUUAAAUUAAAAAGGUAUGUUCGAAACAAAAUUCUAUAAAAUCGAAUUACGUUAUAUAUACAUUAAUAAACCAUCAGGAGAAUCCGUCAAGACAGCCGUCGAGACGCUAGGUGACACAUCAAGUAACUUUGAUGCAUUUUCUUGAAAAACGAAGACGCCUCUAAUUGCCUUUGCCACGCGCGAUUUAAAAUAAAAAUUCCCAGCCGAAAGCUUCUUAGAGAUGAAAACUCGUAAUCUGAGAACUAUAUCCGUACGCGAACAAACGAUCCCCACCAAACAACCCUAAUCAAAGCCUGCGUCUCGCUUCCCUGCGCUCAAAAUGCAACCAGACAAGGAAACUCGAUUUUAACAGCGUAUUUCACGCGGAGGGUUGAAGAACCCUCCUCGCCGGGCCGAGUUUACUUUAAGACGGUUUCUCUUAGUCACCGGUCUCGUUUACAAGUAACCUUAUUUCGGUGUCGUGUCACGACAGUCACGGCUGCUUAACGCAAUUGCCGCGAAUCUUUUGAAAUUCUCCCUUCAACCUCUCCUUUGCCGCAUACACACAUACACCUAUACGCACACAUUUCUUCUGUCUACCUUGCUCCCUUCUUCGUCCAACCCCCUUUAUCUGCCCCCUUCCCUUGCAGUUAGCCUCGUAAUUUUCUCUUUCUUCGGCUAACUUCGUCCACUGCACUCCUUUGCGGCCCUGAAUACUUCAGGACACGGAGGAGGGCGAGGGAAAUACAGUCCCGUGACGUCAUCGAGCUUGGGGUCACGCGUUGAAAUUCAGGUCGACUCACCCCUUUAUCAACCACCCACCACCACGCUCUGUCCUUCUCUCCCUUCCUCCCUCUCUCUCUCUCUCUCUCUCUCUCUCGGUUUCUCUCUGUCCGUCCCUUGUAUUCGCUCUGUCCAUCCCUGCUGCUUCACUCCAUCUUUCUCCGUAUCCCUCACCCCCACUUUACAUGUAUACUCGAAUGUUUCUCGUAAACGUCAACGAGAGAAGAAAAAAAAAAAAAAAAAAAAGAAAAGAGGAAAAAAGAAACAGAGAAAAGAAAAAGGAGGAACCUAUUUGCUGCCUUUCUCGUGCUUUCUGUGGCUCGUUUAUCUUGUAUGAUACGUUAUGUAACGUCAUCAUCGACACGGGCAUUUUUCUUCCUUCCUUUUUCCUUCUUCAUCUUUCUAAUGGAUUAAUAAUAGCGGAAUUAAUUAGCGAAUUGCAGCGUGGGAAGGUAAUAAUACUUUCGAGAUGGGGCUUUCUUUUCCAGAGAGUUCCUUUUUUGAACGUAGUAACCGGCAGUAGAAUGGCUUCAGUUUGGUGGAAGUUUGAAGGAGAGAGACGAUUAAAAACGUCGAUCGAGGGAUGAGAUGGGUUAAUGCGUAACGACAAUAAAGGGGAGGUUGUCUUGAAUGACGGGUUUGUCAGUUUUGAAACGUAUCAAAUUGUAGUGUAUCUUUGGAGGCUUUUUGGUUUGAUAGAAGCUCGAACGAGAUAGGUGGGAUAUAAUAGAAAAUGCCUAUCAAGAGGCGUCGAAAAGGAUAGAAGCGCUUUGUUCCCAAAGUGCUCUCUUUAAUGACACUCGCUCUUUCCUUAAUGUCACGUUUUUGUUUGAGAUUGUACAGCGUGAAAUAUUACUAUCGUAAUUGCUAGCGGAUGGGUUAGUUGUAGGAAGAAGAACAUGAAAUAAAAUUUCAAGUGCAUCUACUAUAUUGUUAAAGAGUAGUAUAAAAAAGUUUGUAAGUUUUCCAUUACAAUUACUAAUUUAAAGUAACAGGAAAUAAAUUUCAAACACAGUUCGUAUUCUUUUAUCUACAUUCAAUUUUCGAUUAGCUGAAAACGCAACUUAUCUCCUAUAUCAUUCGAAUCGAAGAGCAUUCUACAAAUUUUAUCGUCGAGCCUUAUCGUACUCAGAUUCUAUAAUAAGAAUUUUGUUUACGUUAAAAUAAUUCUCAAAUGAAAUAUUUCAUAUUUUUAUAUACUAUUUUUCGCUUUGCCAUAUAUAUUAAACACUGGAUAAUAAUAAAAGAUUUUGAAAAAUUAAAAGGAAAACAUAUUUAAUGCAUAUCUACGUUUACAAAUGCUAUAUUAUGGUAUUCUUGGGUACAUCUGCUUCGUCGUUCUUCCAGCCACCGUCUAUUUUCAAAAACGAUGCAAAUUCUUUCCACCCGAAAAACACGAUUGCAACCGAAAUACGUUAACAUGCUUGCUGUCAUAUCGAGGUCGAACAAAAAUAAACUGCAUGACGUGAAAAGUUUACUACGUUUCGUACCUGCAUUAUAUUCCACUCCUAUCUAUCUACAUCUUGAUUCCUGACUUGUGUUGUUCCUAGACCUAGAACCUAUGAUGUUCAGCAGCCAAAAAACUCAUUAACAUGAAGAACGAAGAAAUCUUGUCAACUUUUUACAUUAGUAAAUCACUCGACACUCCUGUCAAUAAUAAAUCACAGUGAUUACAGCGUAAAUGUUUUCUUACUUGCUGCUACAAUAUAAUUCACACAUAGGCGCGACAAGUUUUUCUAAAAGAAUACAUUCAUUAAUGAUAAACAUCGUUAAAUCCACUGUCCACUAUUCCCAGUGAAGUUUCCAAAUAGAAACGUUUAGAAAAUAUGAAAUCAAAAUUAUUAUAUAGUUGGUGCUUAAUGCUGAACUUGGCAAACUCUGCCAGGAAAGUACGUUUAUUAUUUCUGAUAGAAUCUAAGAUAUUAAAUAUCUUUGUAGUAUUCAAAACGUACGAAAAAAACUAUGACUAAACAAUUUCGGCGUUCUACUAAAUUAUAAUACGAAACAAUCGGAGAAACUUCGUUAUGAAUGGUUCUGUUGCAGCAACUAAUUGAACAGACGCGAACGAGUCCUACAAGCUUGACAGACUAACUUGUCACUUGCUAGAAAGAUGAAAUUUAUGAUAAUCAUUAAACAAAAACGUACAGUCAACAGUUGUAAUGUCCAAUUGUCUAGUUGUUUUAAACGAUUUAUUUUAUUGCUAUACGUAAUAAAACGUUUUCCUUCCCAAAUAUUCGUAUGACGACAAACUUGUUUUUGAAAAAUUCCUACGAAAAUUUAUUAUCCUUAUUUAUCAUACUUACACGGUGAUCUUUACAUGCUUGAUAGAUUGACAAUCAUCUAACGCUAUUUCUAUUAUACGCAAAUCAACCAUCUAUUCCAUUUUUCGAUCGCCUCGAGCAAUUUAUUUGAACGCGAUAUUUCUUUUCACCAAAAAACCCUACGACGACAAACUUAUUUUCAAAAAUGGAAUUCUCACGGAAAUCGAUUACGUUACUGUACAGUGAUCCUCGUAUGUUUGGCACAUUGAUAAACAAACGUUUAACACUAAUUUUAUUAUACGCGAGUCAUACCUUCUAAUUAUUUUAAACAAUUUAUUUUAAUGCAACGCGCGAUAAAACGAUAUCUUCACGCAAUUAUUCCUAUCGAAGAUAUCAAACGUGUUUUCGAAAAAGGAAUGAAAAUUUACAACACAGCGAUUGUCACUGGUUUAACGGUUUGACGAUCACUCAACGCUAUUUUUAUUAGACACGAACCACUUUUACAUGCAUUAAAUCGAUCACGAACGGCAGAGAAACAGUUUCGCAAUCGUUCAGAUUGAGAAACUUAAUUACGAUGGAAAUAAACGCAUCGCGCGUGCAUCGUGGUGUUGUUAUCGAGUUACAAUGAGUACACGGUCGUUUCGUGUUCGUGGACGAUAUUUUCGUUUCGAACAGCCAGGCUGUUUUCGAAAUAGCAGAACUUCGUUACUAUGUCAAGACAAUUAGCCUGCGCUUAUUAUAUUGGCUACAAAACGGUUCGAAGGCGUUCUUCCUACACUCGACGCUCUUGUCAUUAAUCAUUAAGCGUCUCGCGCUGAUAAGCUUCUCGUACCGACAUUGAACGCGCGAUUUCGAGCAAUGACUUGUUUACAAUGUUUAAAACGUUCUGCGAUGACGUGGCACGUCACGACACGGCUAGAAUUUCGUGUACAUUCCACGCUGUGUUUGGUUAAAAUUGGUUUUUCCGGAGCUGAACGGUGAACACAAACGUGCUGCAAGUGCGGUGGAAAAAAUUGAAAACACACAGUAAACUUAAUGCGCUGCGGAAACUACAAAAGAUAUCGAAACAAUGUAUGAAAGAUAUCUAGCUCGUUAAUAAUUCUACGAAAAUAACCCGUAACACUAUACACAUAUCGUCCCUAGGUAAUUUACAAUAACACUUUUAUGAUGAAAAAAAUAUUGUUCUUUUAUCGUCAAAUUCGCCGGUGUUUGGCGUGAAAACCUCUAAAUCUAUAUGUAAAUAAAUUGCACACUUGGGGCGUCUA